AGCGUACACGGUGGAUGCCCUGGCAGUCAGAGGCGAUGAAGGACGUGCUAAUCUGCGAAAAGCGUCGGUAAGGUGAUAUGAACCGUUAUAGCCGGCGAUGUCCGAAUGGGGAAACCCAGUGCAAUUCGUUGCACUAUCGUUAACUGAAUACAUAGGUUAACGAGGCGAACCGGGGGAACUGAAACAUCUAAGUACCCCGAGGAAAAGAAAUCAACCGAGAUUCCCCCAGUAGCGGCGAGCGAACGGGGAGCAGCCCAGAGUCUGAAUCAGCUUGUGUGUUAGUGGAACGGUCUGGAAAGUCCGACGGUACAGGGUGAUAGUCCCGUACACCAAAAUGCACAGGCUGUGAACUCGAAGAGUAGGGCGGGACACGUGGUAUCCUGUCUGAAUAUGGGGGGACCAUCCUCCAAGGCUAAAUACUCCUGACUGACCGAUAGUGAACCAGUACCGUGAGGGAAAGGCGAAAAGAACCCCGGCGAGGGGAGUGAAAAAGAACCUGAAACCGUGUACGUACAAGCAGUGGGAGCACCUUCGGGUGUGACUGCGUACCUUUUGUAUAAUGGGUCAGCGACUUAUAUUCUGUAGCAAGGUUAACCGUAUAGGGGAGCCGCAGGGAAACCGAGUCUUAACUGGGCGUUAAGUUGCAGGGUAUAGACCCGAAACCCGGUGAUCUAGCCAUGGGCAGGUUGAAGGUUGGGUAACACUAACUGGAGGACCGAACCGACUAAUGUUGAAAAAUUAGCGGAUGACUUGUGGCUGGGGGUGAAAGGCCAAUCAAACCGGGAGAUAGCUGGUUCUCCCCGAAAGCUAUUUAGGUAGCGCCUCGUGAACUCAUCUUCGGGGUAGAGCACUGUUUCGGCUAGGGGGUCAUCCCGACUUACCAACCCGAUGCAAACUACGAAUACCGAAGAAUGUUAUCACGGGAGACACACGGCGGGUGCUAACGUCCGUCGUGAAGAGGGAAACAACCCAGACCGCCAGCUAAGGUCCCAAAGUCAUGGUUAAGUGGGAAACGAUGUGGGAAGGCACAGACAGCCAGGAUGUUGGCUUAGAAGCAGCCAUCAUUUAAAGAAAGCGUAAUAGCUCACUGGUCGAGUCGGCCUGCGCGGAAGAUGUAACGGGGCUAAACCAUGCACCGAAGCUGCGGCAGCGACACUAUGUGUUGUUGGGUAGGGGAGCGUUCUGUAAGCCUGCGAAGGUGUGCUGUGAGGCAUGCUGGAGGUAUCAGAAGUGCGAAUGCUGACAUAAGUAACGAUAAAGCGGGUGAAAAGCCCGCUCGCCGGAAGACCAAGGGUUCCUGUCCAACGUUAAUCGGGGCAGGGUGAGUCGACCCCUAAGGCGAGGCCGAAAGGCGUAGUCGAUGGGAAACAGGUUAAUAUUCCUGUACUUGGUGUUACUGCGAAGGGGGGACGGAGAAGGCUAUGUUAGCCGGGCGACGGUUGUCCCGGUUUAAGCAUGUAGGCUGGUUGUCCAGGCAAAUCCGGAUAAUCAAGGCUGAGGUGUGAUGACGAGGUACUACGGUGCUGAAGUAACAAAUGCCCUGCUUCCAGGAAAAGCCUCUAAGCAUCAGGUAACAUUAAAUCGUACCCCAAACCGACACAGGUGGUCAGGUAGAGAAUACCAAGGCGCUUGAGAGAACUCGGGUGAAGGAACUAGGCAAAAUGGUGCCGUAACUUCGGGAGAAGGCACGCUGGUGUGUAGGUGAAGUCCCUGCGGAUGGAGCUGAGACCAGUCGAAGAUACCAGCUGGCUGCAACUGUUUAUUAAAAACACAGCACUGUGCAAACACGAAAGUGGACGUAUACGGUGUGACGCCUGCCCGGUGCCGGAAGGUUAAUUGAUGGGGUUAUCCGUAAGGAGAAGCUCUUGAUCGAAGCCCCGGUAAACGGCGGCCGUAACUAUAACGGUCCUAAGGUAGCGAAAUUCCUUGUCGGGUAAGUUCCGACCUGCACGAAUGGCGUAAUGAUGGCCAGGCUGUCUCCACCCGAGACUCAGUGAAAUUGAACUCGCUGUGAAGAUGCAGUGUACCCGCGGCAAGACGGAAAGACCCCGUGAACCUUUACUAUAGCUUGACACUGAACAUUGAGCCUUGAUGUGUAGGAUAGGUGGGAGGCUUUGAAGCGUGGACGCCAGUCUGCGUGGAGCCAACCUUGAAAUACCACCCUUUAAUGUUUGAUGUUCUAACGUUGGCCCCUUACCGGGGUUGCGGACAGUGUCUGGUGGGUAGUUUGACUGGGGCGGUCUCCUCCCAAAGCGUAACGGAGGAGCACGAAGGUUAGCUAAUCCUGGUCGGACAUCAGGAGGUUAGUGCAAUGGCAUAAGCUAGCUUGACUGCGAGCGUGACGGCGCGAGCAGGUGCGAAAGCAGGUCAUAGUGAUCCGGUGGUUCUGAAUGGAAGGGCCAUCGCUCAACGGAUAAAAGGUACUCCGGGGAUAACAGGCUGAUACCGCCCAAGAGUUCAUAUCGACGGCGGUGUUUGGCACCUCGAUGUCGGCUCAUCACAUCCUGGGGCUGAAGUAGGUCCCAAGGGUAUGGCUGUUCGCCAUUUAAAGUGGUACGCGAGCUGGGUUUAGAACGUCGUGAGACAGUUCGGUCCCUAUCUGCCGUGGGCGCUGGAGAAUUGAGGGGGGCUGCUCCUAGUACGAGAGGACCGGAGUGGACGCAUCACUGGUGUUCGGGUUGUCAUGCCAAUGGCACUGCCCGGUAGCUAAAUGCGGAAGAGAUAAGUGCUGAAAGCAUCUAAGCACGAAACUUGCCCCGAGAUGAGUUCU
rnacentral:rRNA from 1 species